rnacentral:piRNA from 1 species
UGCUUCAAAGGGCACUACCAUUUCCGAAA